rnacentral:rRNA from 1 species
AUAGACUCGGGCGCAGCCUGAUCAGCCAUGCCGCGUGCGUGAGAAGGCCUUUCGGGUUGUAAACCGCUUUUGUCAGGGAAGAAAUCCUCUGGGUUAAUACCUCGGGGGGAUGACGGUACCUGAAGAAUAACCACCGGCUAAAUACGUGCCAGCGCCGCGGUAAUAG